GCAAGGAACAAGUGGCACGCUCCAGCGAUUAUCUCGAUGGCCAGUUGAGCUUUCGCGAAAAACUGUUGAUGCGUCAUCACCUGAUGUUCUGCCCCAACUGUCGGCGCUUCAUUCGUCAGAUGCGUUUGAUGCAAGCCACGUUGAAGGCGAUGCCGGAGAAGCCGCAAGAGGGUGUGGAUGCGCUGGCUGAGCGUCUGGCCGAGCAACGCCGCAAGGAAAAAUAGAAUUCCACCUGUAGGAGCUGCCGGAGGCUGCGAUCUUUUGAUCCUCAAAAACAAGAUCAAAAGAU
rnacentral:sRNA from 1 species